rnacentral:lncRNA from 1 species
AGAAUGAAGAAAAAGAAGCAGGCUGGCAUUUUAACAAAUGUUUAUUGAAUGAGAAGAUUAUUAUCCAGCCAGAGCUCCAAAAAAGGCCAGGACAGUAGCUUCAACCAUCUCUGUUCUUCCAUAGUAACAGAGGGAAACUUGGAGAGAUGUCUGUAGCUACAAGCUUUCUGCUUGUAGAAAGAUCUUACUUGGAAAUUACUUUGAAAGAAGCUGGCAAGGAUCCUGGACUGGUACCUCUUCCUAUGAAAAGGCAACUUUGGAACACAACAGUAGCAGA